UGCAUCUGGGGCCUGUGAGGAUGAGAACCUCCGGGGGCAGGAGGUUCGACUCGAGCGAAGCGAGAGAACGUUGCGUUCAGCAACGGCCCGCAGGGCGAGCCACGAAGUGGUGAGUCAUCCUCUAUCACCGACCA
rnacentral:sRNA from 1 species